rnacentral:rRNA from 1 species
UGAGGAAUACAUCGCAAUCUACCUUUUCGUGGGGGAUAACGUAGGGAAACUUACGCUAAUACCGCAAACGACCUUCGGGUGAAAGCAGGGGACCUUCGGGCCUUGCGCGGAUAGAUGAGCCGAUGUCUGAUUAGCUAGUUGGCGGGGUAAAGGCCCACCAAGGCGACGAUCCGUAGCUGGUCUGAGAGGAUGAUCAGCCACACUGAAACUGACACACGGCUCCAGACUCCUACGGGAGGCAGCAGUGGGGAAUAUUGGACAAUGGGCGCAAGCCUGAUCCAGCCAGUACCGCGUGGGUGAAGAAGGCCUUCGGGUUGUAAAGCCCUUUUGUUGGGAAAGAAAAGCAGUCGAUUAAUACUCGGUUGUUCUGACGGUACCCAAAGAAUAAGCACCGGCUAACUUCGUGCCAGCAGCCGC